rnacentral:lncRNA from 13 species
CUGACUUUGGCCUGAAAGCCUCGCAGAGGGGCCCACAUUCCUGCCCACGGCAUCCCCGCUCCUAGGAGGAAACUCAACAGGAUCUCUCCCUAUCCCAGCAUGCGCUCCUCAUCCUUGGGAAAAAAAGACAGCGCUCAUAAAUCCGGACAAAGUUAAGAUAACCGUGAGAGAAUCCGGAGUGUCUGACCUGCUUCCUUGAAGGAGAUGGUGGUCUCUGCCCCCUGGGUCCUGGGCCUUGAUGUACCUUAGAGGAUGUGGGUGAAGGAGAUGCUGGCUGGAAUGCAGUGCUGCAAUCUCGGCACACCGAAACCUCCGCCUCCCAGGUUCAAGCUGUUCUUCCAUCUCAGGCUCCCAAGUAGCUGGGAUUACAGACGCAUGCCACCAUGCCUGGUUAAUUUUUGAUUUUUGUAUUUGUAGUAGAGGUGGGGUUUCAUAAUGUUGGCCAGACUGGCCUUGAACUCCUGACCUCAGGUAAUCUGCCCGUCUUGGCCUUCCAAAGUAUUGGGGUUACAGAAGUGAGUCACCACACCUGGCCAAGAACUUUCUUUCUUCUUACCUUUUCUCUUAGUAGUGAGAGAAUUUUACACAAAUGAUUAUUGUAGAUGGAUAACAUGGUAGUUACUGAAGGAGCGUUGGAGGAUGUGUUCUAACUUGUUCAUUUUACAAGUGGAGAUACUGCGGCCCAGAGAGAGAAAUAGUGUCCUCAAAGUCACCACAUAGUAGGUGCUCACUAAGUACUUGUUGAUUGAAUCAGCAUAAACACACACAUUACAGACAGAGGGAACACCACCUGUUUGGAAGUCCCAGGCCACUGGGCUUUGACUCCCAGCGUGCACCACUUCAGUGUCCGAAAGCACAUUCACGUAAGUGAUUGCAGACAGGCUUCCUGGAGGAGGCAUGGCCUUCAAAGCUGUUCUAAGUGAGAGUCCAGGUGGAAGCCUGCGCAAACUGCAAACAGGACCAGGAGGAGGAGCUGGGGGCUGUGGGCACCUGGAGUGAGCUAUGGGGAGCUCAGGGGGUUGCUGGUGGAGCCUUGAGGAUUAGAGGCAGCAGUUUUGGGGCCUGCAGCUGUGGUCGCAUUCCUCCUCCUCCUCCCCUCAUCUCCCUUGGGUCCCUCCAGCUGGAGCUGCUGCUAACGAUACUGACCCAUCCUUGGCUGUGGAGACUGAGGCUGCCAGAGGGCGGGUGCUGGUUUCCAGGCUGUGCCACGUCAAGUGAGUGCACUGGUCAGGAUCUCAAACUUGGAUUCCUCUCUAUGGCCUCAGUUUCCCUGGGUGUGACUGGAAAUCACUGUACCUGCCUGGCACAGUGGGAAAUUAGAGCCCUUGGAAGCAGCCACUUAUGGGUGAGGAGGUCUCCAAGGAAACUCCAGAACAUUCUGUGGGUUUUGGUGAUGGCCUGCUGA